rnacentral:snRNA from 1 species
GUGCUCGCUUCGGUAGCACAUAUACUAACAUUGGAACGAUACAGAGAAGAUUAGCAUGGCCCCUGCACAAGGAUGACACACAAAUUCGUGAAGCGUUCCAUAUUUAA